rnacentral:rRNA from 1 species
AUUGAACGCUGGCGGCAGGCCUAACACAUGCAAGUCGAACGGUAGCACAGAGAGCUUGCUCUCGGGUGACGAGUGGCGGACGGGUGAGUAAUGUCUGGGAAACUGCCCGAUGGAGGGGGAUAACUACUGGAAACGGUAGCUAAUACCGCAUAACGUCGCAAGACCAAAGUGGGGGACCUUCGGGCCUCACACCAUCGGAUGUGCCCAGAUGGGAUUAGCUAGUAGGUGGGGUAAUGGCUCACCUAGGCGACGAUCCCUAGCUGGUCUGAGAGGAUGACCAGCCACACUGGAACUGAGACACGGUCCAUACUCCUACGGGAGGCAGCAGUGGGGAAUAUUGCACAAUGGGCGCAAUCCUGAUGCAGCCAUGCCGCGUGUAUGAAGAAGGCCUUCGGGUUGUAAAGUACUUUCAGCGGGGAGGAAGGCGGUGAAGUUAAUAACUUCACCGAUUGACGUUACCCGCAGAAGAAGCACCGGCUAACUCCGUGCCAGCCGCCGCCGUAA